CCCCUUCCAGUUUGAUCCCAGUCCCUCCCAGUUUGAUCCCAGUCCCUCCCAGUUCAUUCCAGUCCCUCCCAGUAUAAACCAGUAACCCCAAAUCCACUCCCAGUUUGAUCCCAGUCCCUCCCAGUUUGAUCCCAGUCCCUCCCAGUUUGAUCCCAGUCCCUCCCAGUUCAUUCCAGUGAUCUCCCAGUAUAAACCAGUAAGGCCCAGUCUCCCCUUUGUUCCCUUCCAGUCCCUCCCAGUAUAAACCAGUAACCCCAAACCCCAUCCCAGUACAAACCAGUAACCCCAAAGUCCAUCCCA
rnacentral:lncRNA from 1 species